AACAUCGCGCACCUGCGGGAACCUGCGGAAGGAUCAUUACAGAGUUAUCCAACUCCCAAACCCAUGUGAACUUAUCUCUUUGUUGCCUCGGCGCAAGCUACCCGGGACCCAGCGCCCCGGGCGGCCCGCCGGCGGACAAACCAAAACUCUUGUUAUCUUAGUUGAUUAUCUGAGCGUCUUAUUUAAUAAGUCAAAACUUUUAGCAACGGAUCU
rnacentral:misc_RNA from 1 species